AAGAAAAAGGAAAAAGUGAAUCGGUUCGAAAUUGAUUUGAAGCAAAUUCGAAUUAAAAAGACAGCCGUGGUAAUAUUUUCUAGUAAUCGAGAAGACCUAUGUGUCGAUGAGGUGCAAGAUUUUGGAUUGUCAAGGAAAUUCUCCAACAUUCUUACCCAGUGUUAGGCUUGCUAAAAAUCUUCGAACUCGCAAAGGAAGUCGACGUGGUAACGCUGGAAAUCGUCUAGAAUUGUUAGUUCUGGUUCAUUUGCAUCACGUACCAUAAAAUAAAAAAAAAGAUCAGUGAAUCUGAUAGUGUCAGAAAUUAAAGUGGAAGUGCUGCGUAUCGGUUUUAAUUGGCUUAAAAUCGAUAGAAACUGGUAGAAGAAAGGUAGAACAAUUUUCAUUUUAAAAAGGAAGCGAAAAGAGUCAAAAUGGUUCACACUGAUAUUCUCAUCAAAGGGCCUUACGAAGAUACGAGAAAGAACAAAAAUGCAUCGUCAGCACACCAACAGCGACCUCAACAAUCGCAGAACAAGAAUGACAAGUAUGGCUCUUGGGGUCCAGUGUAUAAGAACAAACAAAACUUUAUCGACAUGCAUAUUUGCUGAUUACUAUGAGGUAUAACUUGAAAGAUCGUAUUGAAGAUAAUGAAUAACGAAUAAAAAAAUUUUAUAUAUUACUUGCAUCACUUUAUCACUUUAAUUUCGACACCAAAGAUUUCUUUGUUAAACUGAUAAUUAGUAACAAUAAAAAUGAAUAGAAGCAAUUAGAAG